rnacentral:tRNA from 1 species
GUUUCUAUGGUGUAAAAGCACGUUAGAUUUUCAUUCUAAAGGAAUAAUAUUAGUUAUUAGAAAUA